rnacentral:rRNA from 1 species
AGGGGACCCCAAGUGCGAGGGCAUAUAGUCCUCGCUUUUCUCGACUGUAAGGCGGUCGAGGAAUAAGAGCUGGGCAAGACCGGUGCCAGCCGCCGCGGUAAUACCGGCAGCUCAAGUGAUGACCGAUAUUAUUGGGCCUAAAGCGUCCGUAGCCGGCCACGAAGGUUCAUCGGGAAAUCCGCCAGCUCAACUGGCGGGCGUCCGGUGAAAACCACGUGGCUUGGGACCGGAAGGCUCGAGGGGUACGUCCGGGGUAGGAGUGAAAUCCCGUAAUCCUGGACGGACCACCGAUGGCGAAAGCACCUCGAGAAGACGGAUCCGACGGUGAGGGACGAAAGCUAGGGUCUCGAACCGGAUUAGAUACCCGGGUAGUCCUAGCUGUAAACGAUGCUCGCUAGGUGUGGCACAGGCUACGAGCCUGUGCUGUGGCCCGUAGGGAAGCCGUGAAGCGAGCCGCC